ACGUGAAGAUGCGCGCGAUGCAGCGGUUCUUCGAAGAGGGCGACAAGGUCAAGAUCACGCUGCGCUAUCGUGGCCGCGAAAUGGCGCAUCAGGAGAUCGGCACCAAGCUUCUGGACAAGAUCAAGACCGACGUCGCCGAGCUCGCCAAGGUCGAGCAGGACGCACGGUUCGAAGGUCGCCAGGUCGUCAUGGUGCUGGCGCCGCGCUGAGGCGAGCUUUUCAGGGGACUUGAGAAUUCAACGGCCCGUCCGGAUCUCCGGCGGGCCGUUUUGCUUUGGUCGCGGUACAAGCCACGAA
rnacentral:misc_RNA from 1 species